UUACUUAAAUGACAGGAAGAUUUCCACUUAUGAAUACGGGCUUCUGAGGGACAGCUGAGAUGCUUUUCUUAUGCGCAACACUGAAAGGUCUUGUCUUGAUUUUUCUGGUAACUUUUUGGUUUCUCUGAGGCUUGAGCUCUUUUGGGGUUCAGUGAUGUACAGGAUUAUAUAGACAUCCCUUCCAAUAAAACAGGCGCUUCCUGCUUGGGGUAUUCUCCUUUCCCAAAGGGUAUGUGAAGAGAAUAUUAUUGGAGACUCAUUUUCUUGCAUUUCUCUGCCUCCUAUUCCUCAUCAAUGGAAGACCAUUUCCCUAAUUUUAGGCAGAAUCCUUGAAAAUGGCAAGCCUGCUCAAAAGCCCUGGCAGCUGCUGGCUGACUUUGACAUGAUCCUUGUCAUUUCUUGCUAUUACUCUGUAGCCAGUUGCAACAGAGGAAUUGUCCUUAAUAGUUUCAAUUUCUUAGAAGAAAAUAUUUAAUAUUCUAUUUUAAUGUGUAUUUUAAAGAACAUACAUCUCCAUUUAGAUUUUUUUUUUAAUUAAAAAGUUUUUAGUCCAGAGCAUAGAGUUUUCAAACUAAUUCUAAAUACCUUUUUUUCAUACUUUCAUUAAUAGUACAACUUUUCUCAGAGACUGGAAUUCAUUUCUGCACAGAAGCCUUUUUAGGGAAUUAAAUGGGGUUUAUGAGAUCCUUAAUCCUGAUUCCGGCUCUUUGUGCAGGGUUGAAUUUCAUAGAAAGUGAUUUUCAGACAAAAGAGACCAGUAGAGGUAGUAUUUAAUCUCUUUCUGAAGCACUGAGAGCUUUCUGGUCUCAUGAGAUUCUGAAAUCAUGUUCCAUAUACAAAAGUUUUCUUUGUGUGUCCUGUAGGCUGGAGCACAAUGGUAGAUGACUUGCAUGUUUAUGUUGUUUGCAAUGCCUUUGGGAGUUCUUGUUCCUGCUAUUUAAACAUCCUAAUAAUUGAUAAAAUGUGUAGUUUACUUUCCCAUUGUGUAAGUUAAAAUCUUUUAUCUUCAGUUCCUGAAGUACGUACAGUCUAAUAGUAGGAAAGUACAAGGCUUAAGGUUUGCUUGUCACUAUUUGAAGAUCACCUGUAUUUUGCUCCAGUUCCACUCCAGUAAAACUCAGUUUAUUCUGUUUUCACUGCCAUAAGAUUUCAGGAAUAGCCUGGUCUUUCACAAUCACAAGGAGUAUGAAUUGCAUCCUUCCAUGUUGUAGUAGGAGACUGAAGAGUAAAUAGGAUUUGAUGUUUAUCUGGUGCUGGGAUAAGAUUGAAGCAUUCCUACACAAUGCUACUGGAAAGAUUCUGUUUGAAUGAGGUUGAUGUUUACAUAGCAUUUGCCAUAAUUUGGCCAUAUUAAUGUGCUGACUUUUGAUCAAGAACAAUCCAAGGCAUAAAUUAGAACAUCCACAAGAACUGUGUAGCAAAGGUCAGGGGUUUUGUGCAAUGAAAGGAGUGGUAUUUCAUCCUACUUUCAGAUGUUUUCAUCUUCAUUUUGAUAUUUCUUUAAGAAUUUACUGUUAACUUUUGGGUGGUUUCUUUUCUCUUUGUCACAAACCGCAUAUAAUUGCUUGGCAGCAGUUCUAUAGCUGGAGUACAGACUUUUGCCAGGAAGAAUGUGAUGAGUCAUGAUAUGUGACCAGAGUAGCUGUGCUAUUAACAUUGCCAAGAGUAGAUGGAGUUCCACCUGUAAAACUGUGCUUAGCUACUCCAAUAUAUUUGACCUGGGACAGCAAAAUCAACCAACUCUCAGAAUAAACUGUAGUGGCAAAAGUGUUUAUCUGCUUGUAUAAACUGUAUCUGCACCCCACUUUUUACCACAAUAAUAUACCAGAAUCUCUAUACCUGCAAAGCCUCUCAGCUGUAAACUUAGCCUUUGUUUUUUUGGCCUGGCUUGAUUAACA